CGCUUCAAAAACAAUAGGGUCCUCGCAGGUUCCCUGCUCGGGCCCUAAUUAAGGAUCCAUGGCGGGACUCAAACCCAGAGCAGAAGCAAAGCCUCCAUUCACAUCCUGCUCUACCACCUGAGCUAAACACCAUUAUGAGUUCACACUGGAUGAAUAAACACAAUGAGUCCCGCCCACAGACUUUCUGACGAAUGCAGGUGGAGCGCGCCGAAAAGGGGCGGUCUCGCUCGUUUCCCGCGUGAAAUUAGUGGAUUUCCCUCCAAAACUGUAGAUGUGUAUUUAAAUAGCUGUUGGAUCGUCACUCUGGUUCCAGCGGCUCUACUCUGAGGACACGAAUACGGUGAACAGUGGGACUUGUCUUCAGCUUCAGGUGGAACAGCUCUGACCUGUAUGGUGAUCAGACCCGGAGAGGAGACACACCUGGUCCAACCAGGUGAUGGACAGUUGAAAGGACGAAUCACCAAGAUGAGCCAAUCGAUGGAGACGAGCCGCCACAGGAGCCUGAACCUGUACUUCACGAGGGGGAUCAAACAUGGCUGAUAUAUCUGCAGUUCACUGCUCGUUUCUCCAGAACGAGAGCAGCCAGGAGCUGAAAGUUGUGGGCAGAGGAACAGGCUGCUGAGGACGAGUUGGACGACGGUUUCCUGAAAUGAAUCCUGAUUUCCUGUAAAUCAAGUUUUUUGGACUGACAUGUUGUUCUCAGACUGUGAGACUCCCGAACAUCCUCAUCAAAACAGACUCUUUGGUUUCUGUCCGUCUGUGAUGAAGCAUCAAAUGAGUCUCUUGCGAAACAGACCUGGUUCAGUUUGUUCACUUAAUUCACAUCAUCUUUCUACAAACUCCCCUGUUUUUUAUUGGCAUUUUGCUUUUAUUAAAGCAGAGAAGAUGGAAACAAUUAGGCAGCUACCGACCUACUCAUCCUGUACGAGAAGCUUGGUUUUUUAAACUGAGUACUUACUAAUAACAAAUAGAAGAUGAGACCUGGUGAGCAGAAAUGUACUAAUUUGAAAAAAAAUCAAAUGAGAAAACAUUUAAAAAUAUGUAAUGAAGAAUAUUUUCGAUAUUUUUUUCUUUGUAACCAAAUGGAAUCAAAAUAAAGACAUUUUCUUUGUAACUGUG